UGAGGAAUAUUGCACAAUGGGCGGAAGCCUGAUGCAGCGACGCCGCGUGGGGGAUGAAGGCCUUCGGGUUGUAAACUCCUUUCGACAGGGACGAAGCUUUUGUGACGGUACCUGUAUAAGAAGCACCGGCUAACUACGUGCCAGCAGCCGCGGUAAUACGUAGGGUGCGAGCGUUGUCCGGAAUUACUGGGCGUAAAGAGCUCGUAGGUGGUUUGUCGCGUCGUCUGUGAAAUUCCGGGGCUUAACUCCGGGCGUGCAGGCGAUACGGGCUGACUUGAGUGCUGUAGGGGAGACUGGAAUUCCUGGUGUAGCGGUGAAAUGCGCAGAUAUCAGGAGGAACACCGAUGGCGAAGGCAGGUCUCUGGGCAGUAACUGACGCUGAGGAGCGAAAGCAUGGGUAGCGAACAGG
rnacentral:rRNA from 1 species